UACGGAGGAUGCGAGCGUUAUCCGGAUUUAUUGGGUUUAAAGGGUGUGCAGGCGGCUGAGUAAGACAGAUGUGAAAUCCCCGGGCUUAACCUGGGAACCGCAUAUGUGACUGCUUGGCUAGAGUGCGUCAGAGGGAGGUGGAAUUCCACGUGUAGCAGUGAAAUGCGUAGAUAUGUGGAAGAACACCGAUGGCGAAGGCAGCCUCCUGGGACGCAACUGACGCUCAUACACGAAAGCGUGGGGAGCAAACAGG
rnacentral:rRNA from 1 species